rnacentral:piRNA from 1 species
UGUAAAGAUACACAUUCCAAUUUGUAAAGAC